GGAGAGGUGCCGGAGUCUGGCUGAUCGGGCUUCCCUGCUAAGGAAGUGUGCCUACGGGUACCGUGGGUUCGAAUCCCACCCUCUCCG
rnacentral:tRNA from 1 species